UACGGGAGGCAGCAGUAAGGAAUAUUGGUCAAUGGGCGCAAGCCUGAACCAGCCAUGCCGCGUGCAGGAAGACAGCCCUACGGGUCGUAAACUGCUUUUGUACCGGAACAAACCCCUCUACGUGUAGAGGGCUGAGCGUACGGUAAGAAUAAGGAUCGGCUAACUCCGUGCCAGCAGCCGCGGUAAUACGGAGGAUCCAAGCGUUAUCCGGAUUUAUUGGGUUUAAAGGGUGCGUAGGCGGCCUGUUAAGUCAGGGGUGAAAGACGGUGGCUCAACCAUCGCAGUGCCUUUUGAUACUGACGGGCUUUGAAUACACUAGAGGUAGGCGGAAUGAGACAAGUAGCGGUGAAAUGCAUAGAUAUGUCUCAGAACACCGAUUGCGAAGGCAGCUUACUAUGGGUGUGAUUGACGCUGAGGCACGAAAGCGUGGGGAUCAAACAGGGAUUAGAUACC
rnacentral:rRNA from 1 species